AUGUUAGGUCCACCUCUGUUAUAAAUGUCAAGGGACAGGAGAUGAAGAGGUGUGCUAAUAAACUGUACGGCACAGGGGGUGAGCAAUUGAGCGGUGAUUAAACCACCGGGGAGUAAUGGAGCAAUCAUAGGAGGUAUGUUGAAGGAAAAGGCGAUGGUGAGUGCAUCACGAAGUCCAUAAAGACCGUAACAAGACCAAGGGAGAGGACGAGGAGAACCGGUGCCCCAAAAUUUGGUAAAGAAACUAUCCUUCAAGAUGGAUAAACCGCUGUUUGCAGCGGUGACAGAACAGAAUUUAAACCAGCCGGAAGUUUCCGCCUUGAAGACGGGAUUCUUGUGACGAAUGUUAUCCAGUGUGUCUAUGGAAUUGGCCGUCAUAUAUGUGCCCGAGUAUAAUGUAAAGACCAGGGCAAAGGGAGCGCUAAAAAAGAAGGCGCCUGGCUUUGAUAAAACAUAUUUGAUGGAGCGACUAACAGAGCGUAAUAAAGUAGAACGGCCACUAGUAUUUUCGACGAUUGAGCGGUCGAUCGUCAAGAUAAAGGGAGAAAUCAUGGCACUGGCGGCUGUAGCGGCAAAUGCAUCGAUGCCGAUCCGCUUCCAGGUAUUGGAGGGAACGGGUUUGGGGGACAAAGGGG